rnacentral:misc_RNA from 1 species
GAUGAAGAACGUAGCGAAAUGCGAUAAGUAAUGUGAAUUGCAGAAUUCAGUGAAUCAUCGAAUCUUUGAACGCACAUUGCGCCCGCCAGUAUUCUGGCGGGCAUGCCUGUUCGAGCGUCAUUACAACCCUCAGGCCCCCGGGCCUGGCGUUGGGGAUCGGCGGAGCCCCCCGUGGGCACACGCCGUCCCCCAAAUACAGUGGCGGUCCCGCCGCAGCUUCCAUCGCGUAGUAGCUAACACCUCGCGACUGGAGAGCGGCGCGGCCACGCCGUAAAACACCCAACUCUUCUGAAGUUGACCUCGAAUCAGGUAGGAAUACCCGCUGUACUUAAGCAUAUCAAUAAGCGGAGGA